rnacentral:rRNA from 1 species
AUACAGAGGGUGCAAGCGUUAAUCGGAAUUACUGGGCGUAAAGCGCGCGUAGGCGGUUUAAUCAGUCGGAUGUGAAAGCCCCGGGCUCAACCUGGGAACUGCAUUCGAUACUGUUAAGCUAGAGUAUGGUAGAGGGAAGUGGAAUUCCAGGUGUAGCGGUGAAAUGCGUAGAUAUCUGGAGGAACAUCAGUGGCGAAGGCGACUUCCUGGACCAAUACUGCCGCUGAGGUGCGAAAGCGUGGGGAGCAAACAGGAUUAGAAACCCUAGUAGUCC